GGGUUGUGAGGUUAAGUGACUAAGCGUACACGGUGGAUGCCUAGGCAGUCAGAGGCGAUGAAGGGCGUGCUAAUCUGCGAAAAGCGUCGGUAAGGUGAUAUGAACCGUUACAACCGGCGAUACCCGAAUGGGGAAACCCAGUGUGUUUCGACACACUAUCAUGUCAUGAAUACAUAGUGGCAUGAGGCGAACCGGGGGAACUGAAACAUCUAAGUACCCCGAGGAAAAGAAAUCAACCGAGAUUCCCCCAGUAGCGGCGAGCGAACGGGGAGGAGCCCAGAACCUGAAUCGGCUUGUGUGUUAGUGGAAGCGUCUGGAAAGUCGCGCAGUAAAGGGUGAUAGCCCCGUACACUAAAAUGCACAGGUCGUGAGUUCGAUGAGUAGGGCGGGACACGUGACAUCCUGUCUGAAUAUGGGGGGACCAUCCUCCAAGGCUAAAUACUCCUGACUGACCGAUAGUGAACCAGUACCGUGAGGGAAAGGCGAAAAGAACCCCGGCGAGGGGAGUGAAAUAGAACCUGAAACCGUGUACGUACAAGCAGUGGGAGCACCUUCGUGGUGUGACUGCGUACCUUUUGUAUAAUGGGUCAGCGACUUAUAUUUUGUAGCAAGGUUAACCGUAUAGGGGAGCCGUAGGGAAACCGAGUCUUAACUGGGCGAAUAGUUGCAAGGUAUAGACCCGAAACCCGGUGAUCUAGCCAUGGGCAGGUUGAAGGUUGGGUAACACUAACUGGAGGACCGAACCGACUAAUGUUGAAAAAUUAGCGGAUGACUUGUGGCUGGGGGUGAAAGGCCAAUCAAACCGGGAGAUAGCUGGUUCUCCCCGAAAGCUAUUUAGGUAGCGCCUCGUGAACUCAUCUUCGGGGGUAGAGCACUGUUUCGGCUAGGGGGCCAUCCCGGCUUACCAAACCGAUGCAAACUCCGAAUACCGAAGAAUGUUAUCACGGGAGACACACGGCGGGUGCUAACGUCCGUCGUGAAGAGGGAAACAACCCAGACCGCCAGCUAAGGUCCCAAAGUCAUGGUUAAGUGGGAAACGAUGUGGGAAGGCAUAGACAGCCAGGAUGUUGGCUUAGAAGCAGCCAUCAUUUAAAGAAAGCGUAAUAGCUCACUGGUCGAGUCGGCCUGCGCGGAAGAUGUAACGGGGCUAAACCAUGCACCGAAGCUGCGGCAGCGACGCUUAGGCGUUGUUGGGUAGGGGAGCGUUCUGUAAGCCGUUGAAGGUGGCCUGUGAGGGUUGCUGGAGGUAUCAGAAGUGCGAAUGCUGACAUAAGUAACGAUAAAGCGGGUGAAAAGCCCGCUCGCCGGAAGACCAAGGGUUCCUGUCCAACGUUAAUCGGGGCAGGGUGAGUCGACCCCUAAGGCGAGGCUGAAAAGCGUAGUCGAUGGGAAACAGGUUAAUAUUCCUGUACUUGGUGUUACUGCGAAGGGGGGACGGAGAAGGCUAGGCUAGCCGGGCGACGGUUGUCCCGGUUUAAGCGUGUAGGGGGUGUGACCUGGUAAAUCCGGUUGCAUAUCAACCCUGAGGCGUGAUGACGAUGCACUACGGUGCAGAAGUAGUUGAUGCCCUGCUUCCAGGAAAAGCCUCUAAGCUCCAGGUAACAUUAAAUCGUACCCCAAACCGACACAGGUGGUCAGGUAGAGAAUACCAAGGCGCUUGAGAGAACUCGGGUGAAGGAACUAGGCAAAAUGGUGCCGUAACUUCGGGAGAAGGCACGCUGGCAUGUAGGUGAAGUCCCUUGCGGAUGGAGCUGAAGCCAGUCGAAGAUACCAGCUGGCUGCAACUGUUUAAUAAAAACACAGCACUGUGCAAACACGAAAGUGGACGUAUACGGUGUGACGCCUGCCCGGUGCUGGAAGGUUAAUUGAUGGGGUCAGCCGCAAGGCGAAGCUCUUGAUCGAAGCCCCAGUAAACGGCGGCCGUAACUAUAACGGUCCUAAGGUAGCGAAAUUCCUUGUCGGGUAAGUUCCGACCUGCACGAAUGGCGUAAUGAUGGCCAGGCUGUCUCCACCCGAGACUCAGUGAAAUUGAACUCGCUGUGAAGAUGCAGUGUACCCGCGGCAAGACGGAAAGACCCCGUGAACCUUUACUAUAGCUUGACACUGAACAUUGAGCCUUGAUGUGUAGGAUAGGUGGGAGGCUUUGAAGCGUGGACGCCAGUCUGCGUGGAGCCAUCCUUGAAAUACCACCCUUUAAUGUUUGAUGUUCUAACUCGGCCCCAUAAUCUGGGGUGAGGACAGUGUCUGGUGGGUAGUUUGACUGGGGCGGUCUCCUCCCAAAGAGUAACGGAGGAGCACGAAGGUUAGCUAAUCACGGUCGGACAUCGUGAGGUUAGUGCAAAGGCAUAAGCUAGCUUGACUGCGAGAGUGACGGCUCGAGCAGGUACGAAAGUAGGUCUUAGUGAUCCGGUGGUUCUGAAUGGAAGGGCCAUCGCUCAACGGAUAAAAGGUACUCCGGGGAUAACAGGCUGAUACCGCCCAAGAGUUCAUAUCGACGGCGGUGUUUGGCACCUCGAUGUCGGCUCAUCACAUCCUGGGGCUGAAGUAGGUCCCAAGGGUAUGGCUGUUCGCCAUUUAAAGUGGUACGCGAGCUGGGUUUAGAACGUCGUGAGACAGUUCGGUCCCUAUCUGCCGUGGGCGUUGGAAGAUUGAGAGGGGUUGCUCCUAGUACGAGAGGACCGGAGUGAACGCACCACUGGUGUUCGGGUUGUCAUGCCAAUGGCAUUGCCCGGUAGCUAAGUGCGGAAAAGAUAAGCGCUGAAAGCAUCUAAGCGCGAAACUUGCCUCAAGAUGAGUCUUCCCUGGGCCUUUAAGGCCCCUGAAGGAACGUUUAAGACUAAGACGUUGAUAGGCUGGGUGUGUAAGUGCAGCGAUGCAUUGAGCUAACCAGUACUAAUGAUCCGUGAGGCUUAACCUUACAACACCGAAGGUGUUU
rnacentral:rRNA from 1 species